CUCGCAGGCGGCGCAUUAAGUCAGUGGUGAAAUCUCUCGGCUCAACCGAGAAACUGCCAUUGAUACUGGUAUGCUAGAGUAUAGUUGGCGUAGGCGGAAUGUAUCAUGUAGCGGUGAAAUGCUUAGAUAUGAUACAGAACACCGAUCGCGAAGGCAGCUUACGAAACUAUAACUGACGCUCAGGAACGAAAGCGUGGGGAGCGAACAGGAUUAGAUACCCUGGUAGUCC
rnacentral:rRNA from 1 species